AAAGUGCUGGGAUUACAGGCGUGAGCCACCACGCCUGGCUUAGUUACCUCCUAUUUACAACAAUGGGUACUGAUUUUUUCAUGGUUGUGAUAUAAAAUUUUCUAUUUAGAUAUAUUUUUCAGUGUACAAAGUAAGUUGAUUUAAAGAAAAAUAUUGAGCAAAUAAUGAGUAGUAGAUUUUAUUAUUUUCUUAUAUAUUUUAUCCAGUAAGUGGAUGUGUAAAAGUUGUUUCAGUGAUACUAAACUUUGGAAACCAUGGGACAGGAUCAACCCUAAGCCCCUGUGCCGUAAGAUUAUCUGCAAUGGGGGUGCUCCCAAACACUAGACAGCUGUUAAUCAAAUGCCUCACAAAAAUUACAGCUAUGAUGGGUUAUCAUAAAGGAAAGAUACAUGACAUGCUAGAGUAAGAGUCAGAGAAAUCAGGGAAGGCUUUCCUGAAAAGGUGACAUUUGGGUGAAGAUUUACUGGGUGAAUAAGAAUUCAUUAGGUGAAGGUAUUCCUCCAAGCAGGAACAGCAUGUACAAAGGCCCUGGGGCAGCAGGGAGCAUGAAACAUAAGAGGCUCUGAAGCAAGGCUGGAGCCGCUGGAGCACAGAAGCGAGGCCAGGGAGGUAGGCUGGCAACAACCUUUAUUAUUUAAAGACAGGCAGGGGAAGGAAAUCUGCACAUUGUUCCCAAUCUGGAAAGAGUUGCUCACCCUUUGACAGGGGACAGACCAGUGCCUGACCCUUGAUCUGAGGAUCUGGGGUUCAGUGAGGGAUUUCUAAUAACUAGGUUAGGUGUGAAGCCAGGAGAGGCUUGGCAAACACCAGGUGCAGGCUGUGGCCCUGGAGUGACCGUGACCGCUGACUGCAGGCUUAGAAUUCAGACUGUCCUAACUUGCACUUUCUAGUUGGAGUGACCUUGGGCAGCUACUUAAGUUCCCAGAGCCUGAGGUCCCCAUCUGUUGGAGAUAGCAGCAGGUCUAAUCUUAGAGUUGGUACGAGUCACCGACUCCUGGAUGUAAAUCACCUAGCAUGGGGCCUUGCCAGUAGGGAGAGAUGCAUAAUCAUUGGCUUAUGAGAGUAUUUUCAUACAGCUCCAAGAGCCAUGUGUGUGUACACCUGUCCCGCCAGUGCAUGGAUGUAGGUGCCUGGUUUUGCAAUAUGUCUGUGGUGUGUAUGCCAGUGUAUGUCCAUAGUUUAGCAGUAUGGGGGAGCAGGUGCAGAAGGCAUGGAUGUAUGAGAAGGCGUGAACAUGUGUUCAGCCGUGUGAGUCAGUGGGAGCAUUCAGGUGUGCUCUGUGCGUGCAUGUGUACGUGUGCAUGCAUGUGUAUGUGUAUGUGCGUGCAUGCGUUUGUGUGUGUGUGUGUGAGAGAGUAUGAACACCUCUAUAUGGAAUUCUUCUGCUUGUGGAGAUGCAUUUCUGUGAGUGAAAACCCAUACAAAUUCAACAUGGUUGGUCACAGUCACGGGGUUAAAGCCUUGGCCUGUCUUCACAGCUUUUUUCAAAUCCUUACAGCCCCUGUGAAUCUGCCUGAGGCUUUUGUAUCUGUCUGGAGCUGGGCUGAAAUCCUCUGAAAACAGACUUUUCUUUCAUUCCCUGUUGCCAGAUACUGGCACAAACGCAUCCGCGCCACCGCGCGCGCGCACACACAUACACACACACACACACACACACACACACACACACAAAUUCUUCCAGAAUGUCUCAACGUUUUUCAAGGUUCCAGCCCCAAAAGUCCCUUCCUCUUCCCUCUCCCCAGCCAAUUCCCAUGGAAGCACCCUGUGUCUAUCUGACUUUCCAUAGCUGAGUCUAAAACAGCCAAAGCCUCCCAAGUUUUGGUAACGGUUCUCUCCUUUUCACUCUGGACCCUUAACCCUCCUCGCUCUGCACUGCCUGGCUGGCCUGGGAGGGGACUUUAACCCCCACCACCACUCUCCCCCAUCCAAACUCCCUGCCGGGACAAUGUGCAUUAUCACAGUCAGUUCCACAACUAAUAUGCAAAACCACCCCGUUUCAGUCCUCAGCCUGAGGGCUCAGAUUCAGGCUCAGGUCUAGGGGUUGGGGAAUAUUAAAGUUUACAAGUCCAAUCUUACUCCAUCCAUGCACACACAUGGAGAAGCCGGGAGAGGACGCGGCCAGAGAUGGGCUCCUGCCCCUGAACCCCUGCUGGGGUGGAAGCAGAGAUGGGACCUCCCUAUGUUGCCCAGGCUGGUCUCAAACUCCUGGACCCAAGUCAUCCUCCAAAAGUGCUGGGAUUACAAGUGUGAGCCAACAUGCCUAGCCUGACUUUAAAAUUUUUGCCAAUCCAGUGGACAAGGCGGGAGACUGGAAGAAGGGGCCAGAAAUUCAGACUCAGAAGCCCCCUCCAGAGGCCACAAGGCAGCCUGGCCCUCCCUGAACCAGUGGCUCCCACUCACUGGCCCCUUGUCUCUGCCUGGACUCCUGUGGGUGAGUGGAAGGCCAAGAGGGCGCCCUCUGGUGCCCACCAGAUCGAGUUAAUCACUUAACUGUGUGACCCUGGGCCAACUAUUCAACUUCUCUGUGCCUCGGGUCCUCCUCCAAACGUGGGGAUAAAGACAGUGCUUGCCUCGUGGAGAUGUUGUGUGUGUAUACAUGCAUACACACAUGUGCAAAGAGCUUAGAGCCCCGCCUGGUACCAUUUACACGCUCAGUAAAUGCUUAGGAGGAUUGUUGUGGCAACCCAGCAGCCUGAUGUGUAAGCCUAUGGUCCCAUCUCAGGGCAUGUGGGUGUCACAGGAUCGUAGUCCUGGCGGCCCAAAAAUAAUGUUAAAAUGACUCAGGGACUUCACUUGUGCUUCUGAGCUUCCUGAAGGAAAUAGGCACAGUCUAUAGAACUACUUCCUAACACUCCCCUUAGUUCAACUGUCCACUUCUUCAGCACAGUCCCUGCCAUGUCUUUGGAGGUCCCCCUGCUCCAGACUUCCUUCAUUCAGCCAAUGGUGUUUAUUGGGCACGUGCUAUGUGCCAGCUGCUGUUUUAGGCUCUUAGAAUAAAUCAGAAAACAAAAUAGAUGAAAAAUGCCCAUUGUCCACAUGUAGAUUCUAGAGGUCUCCCCAGAGCAAAGCCCAGACCCUUGGCCUUCCUCUGACCUGCCCCUUUCUUCCUCGUUCUGCGCCCAGAACCCAAGAAAACCCUGCAGCCCUUCCUGGGAGGGCGGUGGAGAGGAAGGAUCUGAGUUGGCCAAGCCAGGCUCUCCAGUAGGCAGGGCUCCAGCAGAGGCUGGGCACGUUCGGUCAUCAGCAACUGUGUCCCAUUACCUGUGGAAAGCGCCAGCCCUGGCCUGGCAAACAGUAGGAGUUCAUCAAGGGUGCCUUCGUUGUACAGUGGUUGCCUUGUACCCAGUUGGAUUGGCAGCAGCUUCGGGGCACGAGGAGUGACUGUUCACUCCUUGGAGAGCUUGCAGCACAGGGCAAGGUGCACAGUAGGCACUUGGUGGCCGGCAGGGCCCUCUGGGGCACCCUAUAGAGGAAUCUCUUGCUGAGUCCACGGAAGGCCCAUGUCGGAAUCCAGUAAUGUGCUGGGGAGGCGAGCUGGGAUUGGGUUGGAAGUGGCGCUCACCAGCCCAGUCAGGGUUCCUCUUAAAAAGCCAGCACAGUGCCUCACCUGUUUGUAUGCCCUCCCCUGGCUCAUCUCCCAUCCAUUAGUCCUCAAGGUACAUCUGUGAGUCCCAUGGGUCAGGUAGUGGGUACAAUGGCAGGAGACGAGUGUGUGGACUUGUCUUCAGAUCCACCUCUUAGUACCUGUGAGACGUCAGCAACCACCCUGACCCUCUGUGUCUUCAUCUGUAAAAUGCACGUAUUAGUCUCUUCCUUGGUGGAAAGGAUUAAAUGAGAUGCUGCAUAUGGAGACAUGUGGGGGUUUUGUAAGUGCUCAUGCUCCCUUUUCCCUCAGGAAGAAAGCCUCCACCUUCAGACUAUCAGGCACUUGGGGACAGACCUCAGGAUACUGCCUUUUGUGGCUCUUACCACCUAUGGUCACCUCAGUUACUCAAGCCACACAUGCAUGUUCGUGUAUCCCCCACGUAUACACAGAAACUCACAGGCAUUAUAUCAGCCAGGGUUCCUAGUUGCAAGCAACAGAAAGAAACCAUGACUGACUUAAGCAGAAAAGGAAUUUCUCAAAAGGAUAUUAUUUGAUUUAUGGAAUCACAGGAAAUUUUCCAGGUCUCCACCUGGAAGGCAGAAUGAACCUUAUUAAAAUUAGUUGAGAUGUACACUUAGCAUUGUGCCUUGCACAGAGUAAGUGCUCAGUAACUCUUAUCCAAUACUAAUGAAAGCACAUCUUAUGGUGUGACACCUCUGCUCAAAAUCCUUUCAUAGAUCCAAUUGUCUAACAUGGAAACCCUGGCCUCUGGGCUGUGGAUACUUGCGAUGGGGGAGGUGGUGCAGGCUCCAAAUUCUUUCCAAGAGCGUGCAAACCCGCAGACCCAUGAAGCAUUGUCUGUAGGCCAGCACUCAUCCUCCACCCCUCUGCCUGCUUCUCCGCUCUCCUAGUUCCUUCUCCCUCCUGUAGGAAUUCAGCAUUGCCACUCUGAUUGGUUGGAUUUUGGGGCAUUGAUUGAGCCUUGUUUUCUAGUGGGCAGGAGGCUCUGUGGCUUAAAGGCCACGGGCCCAGCUGCCAAUGAAUCAGUACUUUGUUUCCCCAGGUAGAGUGGGGAAGAGGGGGCAGGGAACUGGCAGGGCAAGUUUGGGGCCUUCUGCUCCAAGGUCCCUCUAGCCAAAUUUUAUCAAUGUCAUCCAACAUGCCCCUGGCUCUCCAUUUCAGAUGUCUGUAAACUGGGGACUAAAAAAUGCAAAUGUGUUUAAAAGAGUUGCU